rnacentral:rRNA from 1 species
GACGAACGCUGGCGGCGGGCUUAACACAUGCAAGUCGAACGGAAAGGCCCUGCUUUCUUGGGGUGCCCGAGUGGCGAACGGGUGAGUAACACGUGAGUAACCUGCCCUUGACUUUGGGAUAACUUCAGGCAACUGCGGCUAAUACCGGAUAGCAGCUCCUGCUGCAUGGUGGGGUUUGGAAAGUUUCGGCGGUUGGGGAUGGACUCGCGGCUUAUCAGCUUGUUGGUGGAGUAGUUGCCUACCAAGGCAUUGGAGGCUAGCCGGCCUGGGAGGGUGACCGGCGACCUUGGGCCUGCGAGACGGCGCAGACUGCUACAGGGGACAGUGGUGGGAAGUCUUACACAGUCGGCGGGAGCGUGAUACAGCGACGCUGCGUGCGGGAAGACCGCUUUCUGGUUGUGAACCGCAUUCGGCUGUGACGAAGCGGGAGUGACGGUAAUGGGUAAAGAAGCACCGGCUAACUACGUG